rnacentral:misc_RNA from 1 species
CUCUCUCUCUCUCUCUCUUCCAAACACACACAGUAACAAAUAUACUUAACUUUAAGUAUGUGAUCUUCAACCUAAACCAAUUUUUUCAAUCAGCUCUGUUUUUCCCAAAGCUGAUGUCAACGUCACUUGCAGGAAGAACCAUGACCAAAAAAGCCCAAACAAUACCAGUCAGCUAUGUUAUCUGGUUCUGCUGGAAUUUUGUAUCUAUCCUCUCAAACAACAUCUGGAACUUCUCAAUAUUAUCUUCAAUGGCCUUUCCAAAGGUUGCCUUUUUCUCUUGUGAUGAAAUCUGCCAUGGACUUCCUCUGGGGCAUUGUUGUCCAAGGUGAUCCUAUCUUACUUCGUAAUUUGUGCAUGUGACAAGUAAAGAGACAGAGAAGGGUUUUUAUUGGGUGGGGAGG